UGAUGCGCAGAGAUUAAUUAUUUAAAACAUACAGGCUUAACAUUUUACAUCACAUAACUGCUGGAUUAUGUUAUACUUUGAAUCCGAAUGUCUGGCGGGAGAGCAGGGUUUGCUUUUUUCAUCCGCUUUCCCUCUCUUACAAUCAAACAUAUUCAGGUACUUAGAGUUCACUGAGGAUUAUGUCUGGUCAACCAAUGAAGUUUUCAUAUGGGCUUUUUGAGAGGAUUACAUAGCAAUAUGAGCACAGGGUGCAGCAGAAAUAGAGAAUCUGAGGGAGGGAGGACUGUUCGAGAAGAAAAAUGAAGCAGCAUGAAUGAGAGCCAUUUUCUGGGCAAUGAGCAGAGAAAACAGCAUUCCAUCACCAGCCCAAUCAAUGUGGAGGUGAUGUUGUGGUAUUAGCAUAGAUUGCAUUGUGUUAUUGAUAUUGUUUUGCUUGUCAAAUACCAUAUCAGAGUAAGCCAGCUCUGCCAUUAAACAGCACGAUAAUGAAAUAAUUUGUUGCAUAUGCUGAAAAUCACAUUUCCCCCAAACUGCAAUGGACCUUGUUACUUUACAAUAAAGAAAAAAAAAAAGUUUUUAAACUGAGUUGCAAAAUCUUUUUUGAAAAAGAUCGGAUUUUUUCUGGAACACCUUGUGACAGGCUUGAAACGGUCAUGAUGAAAUGAGGUGAAAUGUCAAACUGGCGCCUCAGGUUUACCAAAGUCUAUUUCUGUGAAAGGGACUGUUUGAUGUGAAGCUGAUUAUAUAACAGCAGAUACUUGCACAGCCAUUCAGUAUCUCUUGCAAAGCAGCCACAGAAAAAUCAAUUCUAAAGCUGAGCACAGCUGAUCCCAAGUCAAUCCAUAGAAUCUGAGAAGUCCCACUAGUUUGAUGUAUACAACUUGUGACCUGUCCAGCAAAAACGUACCCACUGACCAACGGAAAUAAGCACCAGACGACAGAAAGCCUCCCACUCUCCAUCCAUACCCCUCACUAUGCCACAUCACUCAACUCUGCAUGCUUUACUCAACGAAUAAAAACUGAAUAACUUGAUGACUGGAAAUUAAAGGGGUAUGAGGACAUCUGGUGGCUGAACAAUAACAUAGUUUAUUUUAUCAAGUGGAACUGCAAGAUAACAAAAUAGGUGUUGAAACCUAUUUGUUUACUCCUUGGUGUGGCAGAAAAUAUGUGCACACAAAUCUCUGCUUCAACAACUUUUGCUUCAAACGAGGCUGAUGCUAAAUUGAAUGAAUGUAUGGAAACUGAAUAAUUCCUAGAUUGUAUUGAUGCAAACAUUUUUCUUGUACAUCGUCUUCUCUAUUAUAACCUACUCAGCUGCACAAUAAUGUUUUAAACAUGUGCUUGUUAUUUUUUUUAAUAGCACACUCAGAUCAUUGAAAUGAUAGCAUAGUAUUAUUUUACUUAUGUUGUAAAUUUGAGCCUUAAGAUGCAGUGUUUUAUUCUUAUUUUUCAUUUUCUUUUACCUUUGUCUGAAUAGUCACUUAUCUUAAUGAGCUGCUGUGACACCCACAUUUCCCCAAUAAAGUAUAUUUCUAUUCUAUCCCAUUCUAUGCUGUUUUUGCCAUUAUGAUAAGAAAAUGCUCCUGCCUCUCUUUAUCUGGUUUCCAUGGCUUUAUGUACAUAAUUCACCUCUCACAUUUAUAUGAUAUGUUUGAAUGUCUUCAUGUUAUCAGUCCUAACCUGUGCCUUUCUUGUCCAAUGACAUUAACAAAAAGAGCAACAAAUGAUUCAAAAUUGA